rnacentral:rRNA from 1 species
AUUGAACGCUGGCGGCAGGCCUAACACAUGCAAGUCGAGCGGAGCGGCGGACGGGUGAGUAAUGCCUAGGAAUCUGCCUGGUAGUGGGGGAUAACGUCCGGAAACGGGAGCUAAUACCGCAUACUAUCAGAUGAGCCUAGGUCGGAUUAGCUAGUUGGUGGGGGAAAGGCGUACCAAGGCGACGAUCCGUAACAGGUCUGAGAGGGUGAUCAGUCACACUGGGACUGAGACACGGGCCAGACUCCUACGGGAGGCAGCAGUAGGGAAUAUUGGACAAUGGGCGAAAGCCUGAGCCAGCCAUGCCGCGUGUGUGAAGAAGGUCUUCGGAUUGUAAAGCUCUGUAAUUUGGGAAGCGUUACCAACACAAUAAGCAACGGCUAACUUCGUGCCAGCAGCCGCGGUAAUAC